UGGGGAAUAUUGCGCAAUGGACGAAAGUCUGACGCAGCAACGCCGCGUGAGUGAAGAAGGCCUUUGGGUUGUAAAGCUCUUUCGGCUGGGAAGAAGGGAAUUAGUGUUAAUAGCAUUAGUUUUUGAUGGUACCAGAAGAAGAAGCACCGGCUAACUUCGUGCCAGCAGCCGCGGUAAUACGAAGGGUGCGAGCGUUGUUCGGAAUUACUGGGCGUAAAGGGUUUGUAGGCUGAAAUGUAAGUCAAGUGUGAAAUCCCCGAGCUAAACUUGGGACGUGCAUUUGAAACUGUGUUUCUUGAGUAUCGUAGAGGGUGGUGGAAUUGCAGGUGUAGGAGUGACAUCCGUAGAGAUCUGCAGGAACAUCAGAGGCGAAGGCGACCACCUG
rnacentral:rRNA from 1 species